GCAAAAUGGUACAGACACUUUGGAAGACAGUUUGGCAGUUUCUUACAAAACUAAAUAUACUCUUACCAUUAAGUCCAGCAAUCACGCUCCUUGGUGUUUACCCAAAUGAGUUGAAAACUUCUGUCUGCAUGAAAACUCACACACAGGUGUUUAUAGCAGCUUUACUCAUAAUUGCCAAAACUAGAAGCAACCAAAAUGUUCUUCAGUAGGUAAAGGGACAGAUAAACUGUGGUCCAUCCAGACUGUGGAAUAUUAUUCAGUGCUAAAAAGAAGUGAGCUACCAAGCCAUGAAAAGACAUGGAGGAAACUUAAAUGCAUAUUACUAAAUGAAAGAAGCCAAUCUGAAAAGGCUACUUACUGUAUGAUUCCAACUAUAUGACACUCUGGAAAGGCAAAACUAUGGAGAACAGCAAAAAGUUCAGGGGUUCGGGGACAGAGGGAUGACUAGGUGGAGCACAGAGGAUUUUUAGGGCAGUGAAACUAUUCUUUAUGAUACUAUCAUAGUGGAUACAUGUCAUUAUACAUUUGUCAAAACCCAUGGAAUCUACAAUAUCAAGAGUGAACCCUAAUGUAAACUGUGGACUUCAGGUGAUAAUGAUGUGUCAGUGUAGGUUCAUCAAUUGUAUCAAAUAUACCACUGUGGUAUGGGGUGUGAGUAGCAGGGAGGCUGUGCCUAUACGGGGGUGGGGGAAAUAUGGGAACACUUUGUACUCUCCUCUCAAUUUUGCUGUGAGCCUAAAACUGCUCUUAAAAAAUAGUCUAUUUGGCAACAAACGAGAAACCAAAACAUCAGACGAAGCAGGACAUAAAAUAGUAUAGCAUAACAUGAACUUAGACCAGAGAAAAGGACACUACAAUGUUAAUAGUCACUAUCUCUGGAUGGUGAAAUUAUUGACUAAUUUUAUGUUUUAUUUUGUCUUUCCAAAUCUUCUAUAAAGAAUAUGUAUUACUUAGAUAAUCAACAGCAACAAUAUUUAUUUUUCAGCAAGAGGAAAUGAAAGAGCACAGAAUUGAACUCAGGACUGAAUUCAGUCAAGGCUCUACCCCUUACCAGCUUUGUGGCCUGGCAAGGCAUUUAGCAUUGCAAACUAUUUCUGCACCUGUAAAAUGAGGACCAUAAAACCCGCCCCACAAUGGUUUGUGUGUGUGUGUUUAUGUGCACGGAUAAAACUAUAUACGGCAUUUGAAUGUGCAAGGCACCUAGAGGAUGCUCAAUAUGGAUUAAUUUCUGAGCCCUUUAAAGAUACCUGGAUGUCUAUGGGUUUCAAGAACACUUUGCUGAGCAUACACAAAGCCUUUUGUUUAUCUGUCUCCCUUUCCCAUCCUGAGAUUCCUGCUGAAACAAACGACCAGGCCCAGGGCAGCCCACGCCCACAUCUGCCAAGCUCCUCCAUCUUGGAGGAGAGAAGGGAGCCGGAGCAAGGAAGCUGUAGUACUUUUCUACUUUGAAAACCCCAGAAAGUCCAAGGCUCUGGAACCAGCUGAUUUUUGUCCUUUACUCCCUCUGCCAUCCUUUAAACAUGUUUCUGUGCUUCCUGUCCCAGCCUGAGGGAGAGGCCAAGGGUACACGUCGCCAGAAAAUAGCUGCAGGGCCAGUCUUGCAGGAGGAUUUGGAUACAGAACGGAACGGGCUUUUGACAGACAAGGAGGAGACUGUUGCCGGCAUGGGGCAGCCAGGAAGGGUGCCCAGAGCCACAAGGAGGACAGGAACAAAGGACUUAGUCUCCCAACAAGCCUGGGCCAAAGCAGGCAGAAUUGGGGUGUCAUGAGCGGAAGGCAAGCUGGCCCCCUCCAGCCAAGAGUGGGGUGUGGAAUGUGAAAGGAAGGUGAACAGAAUGUAACGAAGGGACUUCGGUUCUUUUUCACAUUCAGUGUUACUCUGAAGCAUUCCAAACAUGGCGGGAACAGAGCUUGCUCGGAAAGGAUUGUUAUCUGAGACCAGGGCAGGAUGGAAGGAGGGGAGGCGCUCACGGUGGGGGUGAUGGCUGACGGCUCAAGAGAGCAUUCCAGCUUGGAGAUAAGUGGAGGCAGAAGGUCAGGGAUGAGUCAAGGGAAGGCUGCAGAACUGCUGGUUUCACUCCUGAUGUGAGUGGAAAUGAGGUAAAUCAGAGAGAACUUUUGAUGGCACAGUGGCCCUUUCCUAAUGCUGGAAUCGAGCAAUUGUGCCAGAUUUCCAUUAAAGGCAGGUCCUCUUAACUCUAAAUUUUAAUUUCAGAAAAUUUCCCUAUUCUUUUUUUCUCUAAUUUUCAUUUUCAAAAUGGGAUUUUAAAAGCUAAAACAAUUUGCAUGAAAACUACCAAUAACCCUCUCUGAUUAGCUGAUGGUCAUAUUCCUGGGGCUGAUCAUGACAGGAAUGUAGAAAGAGAUGACAACAAAAUUCCAUAGGUACCUUUUAGUGAUAAACUUGGCUCCUUUGUCUUUGUCACCUUACCUGCCUCCAGCCAAAUUCCCUUUUGUCCCAUGGGCUCUUCCUGUGUUCUUCGGGUACAAGCCAUUUUGGAGUGGAGAUGAAGGAGCUUGGUGGCAAAUGCCACCAUCAGCAUCACCCACAAACAUUCACUGACCAUCAUGAAGGCAUAAAGAGAUAGAGAACUCAUUCCUUGCUUUCAAUGACCUUAUAUUGUGCUCUUUAGAAAUGUAGAAUCUUUGACAUUUUAAAUGGAUGGACCAUGGAUGUUAUGGAGGACGCCAAGAGUAAACUCACUUUGAAAUGCCUGAGAGGUGGGUGAGUCAUUUCUGAGCCUAUUGGAUCAUUCUGUUGCAGACUCUCCUUGACCUUCCAGGCUUGCUAUCUUAACUCACCAAAAUGUUGUUUUGAAGGCGCAAGCAGGGCCUUUGUACUUGCUGUUCCCUCUGACGGAAUGCUCUUCCCCAGAUCUCAGCAUGGCCCGCCCCAUUACCUCUCACCAUCAGCCUUUUGUUCAAAUGCCACCUUCACAGUAAAACCUUCUGUUAUAGGCUGAAUUGUGUCCCCACAAAAGAUGCUGAAGUCCUAACCUCCAGUGCCUGUGAAUAUGACCUUAUUUGAAUAAGGUGUUUGCAGAUGAUCAAGGUAAGAUGAAGUCAUUCAUUAGGAUGGGCCCCUAAUCCACUAUGCCUGAUGUUCUUAUAGAGAGGGGAAAUUUGAAAAUAAAAAAGUAUAUAAAUUAGGAAAAGAGAAAGGGAAAAUUUAAGCACAGAGACAGACACACACAAAGGAAGAUAAUGUGAAGACACAGAAAGGAGACAGCCAUCUACCAGCCAGGGGACACCUGAGGUUACCAGAAGCUGGGAGACAGACAUGGACCCAAUUCUCCCUUACUGCCCUCAGAGGGAACAAACCCUGCUGGCACCUUGACUUCAGGCUUCUGUGAGACAGCACACUUCCUUUGUGUAAGCCACCGAGUUUGUCGUACUUUAUUAUAGCAGCCCCAGCGAGCUAAGACGCCUUCCUAGACCCAUACUAUUUAAAAGUGCACUCUCUGUACCCCUUCUUUUCUCGAGUACUGUCAAACAGCAUAGAUGUGGCUAUUUGGAUACUUGCUCAAGUAUUUCUUUAUAGUUGGUCUCCCUCCGCUGGAAUGUAAGCAUCACGGAAGAGAAGACUUUUGUAGAUUUUCUUCAUGGAUUCCUAGCACCCAGAAUCAGUCCUGUCUUUACGCCCGUCAUGCUGUGGGAGGCCCUCUCUGGCCCUCCUCCAGCCCUGCCCCGCCCCACCCGGUGAGGAGUCUGUGCAGUCAAGCGGAUGUGCUUUCUUGAUGUACGUAGUCCAAUUUGGUCAACACUUACUGACUGCUCACAUUUCAUAAUAGAAAUAGUUUACUUUUCUGGUAGAGUUCUUAAUAGAAUCCUUGAUGUGAAAAGUUGAAAGAGGUCCUCAUUGAUUAUCAUGUCUAAACCCCAAUUAUAUUAGUCAGGACUCUUUGUUGCAAGUAACAGAAAAUCUAACCCCAACUGGUUUACAGAAUAAAGGGAAUUUACUGGCUCAUGUAACUUAAAAGUCCAGAUAUAUGGUGGUUUCCAGGCAAACCUUGAUCCCAGGCUCAGUCAUCUCAACAAUGGUUUGGUUUAUUAUCAUGUCUUUCUCUGCCUUCCACACUGCCUGUUGUAUCUGAAGGCCAGCUUCUCUGUUGUCACAAGGUGAUUACCAGCAACUUUCGUGGACUUAAUGCUUUUUCAUUCCCAUCCGGGUGGAAAAGAGCAUCUCUGUAGGUCGCUUCCAUAGCAGAGUGAGAAAGUUUCUUUCCCCGAAAUCUCCAGCAAAUGCCUUCUUGUCUUGCAUUCCAUUUGCCUGGAGGGGGAACUUGCUCACCUUUGACCAGUGACUGUGGCCAACAGGGUGACAGGGUGUGAUGAUUAGUUUGUGCCAAACAGGGUUUGUCCCUUGUGAUGGUUAAUUUGAUAUGUCACUUAGGCUGGGACAGGGGGAUCCCAGGCAUUUGGUUAAACAUGAUUUGGGGUGUGCCUGUGAGGAUGUUUCUGGACGAGAUAAACAUUUGAAAUAGUAGACUGAGUAAUGCAGAUUGCCCUCCCCAAGGUGGGUGGGCCUCAUCCAAUCUUUUGCAGGCCUGGCUAGAACAAAAGUUGGGGUAAGGAAGAAUUCACUCUCUCUGCCUGUUUUUGAGCUGGGACGUUGGUUUCGUCCUGUACUCAGAUUGGAACUUAAACCAUCAGCUCUGCUGGUUCUCCAGUUUGCAGACAGCAGACUGUGGGACUUCUCGGCCUCCAUAAUCACAUGAGCUAGUUCUUUAUAAUAAAUCUCUUUAAAUAUGUAUUUGUCCUGUUCCUCUGAGAACCGUGACUAAUACACCCCCAGAGCCAGGAGUAGGGUCAGAUUUUUCCCGAAGUGCAGAGAACGCAUAAGCAAGGAAUGCAUAACUGAUGAAAACUGGGACUCUUUCAUUAAGAGAAAGGAAUAAUGGGGGGCCAUGGCUGAGUGGUUAAAGUUCUGCGUGCUCCGCUUUGGUGGCCCGGGUUUGCAGGAUUGGAUCCCAGGUGCAGACCUAAAAAAAAAAAAAAGAAAGAAAGAAGGAAGAACAAAAACUGGCAAGAGAAAAAGAACAACUGUCUGCUAUACUUGAAUUUAUCUCAUCUUUAGUGGCAAAGCCAGGUCUAGCACUUAUAUGUCUACACUCCUUACUCCCUGUUAUUAUUUAUUGUUUAUAAUGGGCAACUCACUGUGCUAAAUGCUAUGGUAAAAUAAUGCCCCAGAAUGUCCAAGAAACCAGAGGUUUAGUAUGAGAUAGAAGGCAUUCACAAAUAGCUGGAGUGGAGGGUAGUGUAUGAUAGAUGCCAUCAAAGAGAAGUCAGUCAGGUGCUUUCCCUGUAGAAAACCCUCCCCAUAUAGAUGCAUGGUGCUUUCUUCCUGAGCAGAGUUGCAUGCCACUUUGCGCUGUCUGCUGAGAAUCCUUCCUCCACGGACAGCGGAUUUCAUAGAAACAGCACAUUACAUACUAUUUCCUUAAAUUUAACACGUAAGAUGAACUAAUACGGAAAAAAUGCAAAUCUCUUAUAUCCAGGACUCUUCCCACCUUCUUUAGAGGAACUAAAGUCUUAACCAAGUGGUGUAUUAUUCAGAUUUAAGCACUAAAAUGUGCCCUUGAGCCUCCAGGAAAUAUUCCUGAAAUAUUUUUCCCUACAUGGGAUAAUGUCUAGUGAGAACCUUUCUUCCUUCCUUAGUUCUAAAAUAGUUUUCUUUUUUCGCAUUUCUCUGCUCAACACCAAAGAAGGGGCAUAAUUCUUUUGUUCUGAAUUUAAUGGAUUAUGUUUUAAAACAUGCCUAGCCUAGUGCCCUGUGCAUAAUAGGUCCUCAGUAAAGGCUGGUUGAACCUGAGUCUAUAGCUACAAAUGAUUAACAUGUCUGUAUUCUCUUUAAGAUAUUCUGCUUAAGCAACGUGUGAUUUCGAAGACUUCCUGGCUAAAGGUUUCAUCCCUUUAUGCUUUUUAAAUGAAAGUCAUCAUCUCAUCAUUGGGCUCAUUCUCUUGGGUACCUAAUAUUAUCAUCCUCCUCAAGGGUUGCAAGCUCAAAUAGUGACAGGGGCCAAGCAGGUAAACAAAAUAGUAAAGCAUGGUCGGCUUUCCAUGGGUAGUCUAAUACCAAUCUUGAUAUCACAUUCACUAAUUAUUUCUUAUCCCCUCAAAAAAGACAAUUCAACACUACAAUGAGAAAUCAUUAAUUUAUAGAAAAUUUUAUGGAGAGACAGGGCAGAGCAUUUGAAUACCAAAAGCAAAAAUGAUCAAGCUCUCCAUCUUCCCCCAGAAGAUCUUCUUCCCUGCUAGUUACCUUAACUCUCUCCCUUCUCUUUCCCACAUAGCCUUUAUGUAGAUGUAGAAGAUUCUGAAAUAAAACAAGGACGGAACUUGACUUUGUGAGGUGCAAGUGUCCAUCUCUCUUCAGGCAGAUUCCACUCCAUAUCUACUAUUAUGGAAGUGGAGACCAGGAGGUGACUGGUUUCCCCGGGUGCCCUGAGGAGCACCCAGACUGAGCUCUACAGAAACAAGAAUGCAGAAAAAAGAUGAGCACACUUGAUAAUUUUCCAUGCUCGCAAACUCUGAAGAAUGGGCACAAGUCCUGGCUCUGGAGGAGAGAGGGCCGACUGGAGACUGAAGAGGCGACUUCUGGGGAACCCCAGAAGAUCGGCUACUCCCCCCAAUCUGCUAAAAUGGAGCCAACAAGUGAAAAAGGGCAGAAACCCACAAGAACAAAGUGAACAAAGAGAGCACGGCUUUGCCUCAGCUGUGAAUAAAUUGAAGGUCCUAAUAAUGAAACCCUAAACGUUGAUUUAAUAAAUUUGUGAGCGGGAGGGGGGGAAGUGUGUGGAAGGGAGAGCAGAGUAAGACCUGGAGACCUUCAUCCUCCGUACUAGGGAGGGGAAAGUCAAUGUCUAAAACGGAAAAAUCAAGAAACAGCCAGGUAGGCUUGUAUUUUAGAAAUACAGAGUAAACAGCAGAAAAAACGACUUCAAAGAAGGGGAAUUAGCAGUGCAGAGGAACGCAGCCCGACUCUGGCUUUU